ACCCAAACCAAUAAAACGAAAAACAAACCCACCAAAUAAAUGAUAAAGUCCAAAUUGGCAGUCCAUUUUAUAAAUAUCAGGGCCCAAUUCAUUAAAACCAAACCCACUACCCAAAUUUUAUAAACCCUAGCCCAAAUCCCAGCCCACUAUCUUAAAAAUUUUCAGCAGACAAAAAAACCUAGCCACUAAGCCUUCAGCCACCGAUCCUCACCAGCAAGGCCACCAUGCGCGCCACCACCACUCGGCUUGCCUCCACGUGCCUCUGACACUUGCAAAACGAAGCAAACACGCAAGCAGUAAAAACAAGAAAGAAACAACAAAUAGAAGAAACAAAUAACAAAAUGAUAAGAAAAAUAGAUGUAAAAGGUUGUAAUCCGGCUUUAAAAGCCGAAGGAUCCCCUUUUUAUUUUUUUUACGAAACAGUAAGCAAUCAAAAAGCAAAAAUAGAAGCAAAAAAAGGUUGAUUUCGAUUUCCAUUUUCGUGUUCUUUUCUUUUUUAUAUUUUUUAUCUUUUAUUUUUAAAUCUUUUCUAAACAAAAAUAAUAAGAGAAGGAGAGGGAGAGGGCUUAUCCGGAAUCCCUGUGAUUGUGUCACCGGAGACUCUCACCGUUGCUGAAAUUAGACCCAAAAUGAGGAGAGAAGAGACUUUCUUCCUUUCAAUCGACGGGCUGACGAUGCAAAGGCUAGGGUUCAUAACCCUAGCAGAGAGUUGAGAAACAAAGGGGAGAGGGUGUUUUGUUCUUUUCUUGAAAAAUAAAAGAAGAAACGGCAGAUUGAAAAAGAAGGAAGAUUUUGGUUUUAUUUCAUCUUUGAAAUGACGUCGUUUGGUGGGGUGAGGGUUUGCACAUUCUCCCUAAAGGGAAAAUUUGUGCGAUUAGUCCUUUUCAUUCGCAACUCCAUUCAAUCGGACCCCAUUUCCUGUUUUCUUUUGUUUUUUUAAUUUUAACCCUCAGAUUUCGUUUGGUUUUUGAUUUGGUCCUUUGUGCUAUCAGCGUAAACGCGCGCAGAGCAUUUAGGGGAUUUUUUUCAUCUAGUCCCCGCUAGUUUCGGCGCGUUUCGUUUAGAUCCCUGAUUAACUUUCCAGUAUUUAUAAUUUUGUACCCCGAAUUUUAACUUGUUUUUAACCAUGUCCUAAAUCUAUUUAAUCCAUUUAUUAACAUCUUUUAAAACAAAAUUCAUUUAUAUGUUAUUUCAAAUAUUUUAUAUGUUAUUUACUUUACAUCUAUUCUAACUUAUUUUAAUAUAUUGUUUGUUUAAAUUCUUAUUAUUUAUUUUAACUUGCUUUAUGCAUAUAUUUUAUCUUGAUCUAUUUUAUAUGUAUUAUUUAUUUUAUAUUCCUU
rnacentral:lncRNA from 1 species